GAUGAAGAACGAAGCGAAAUGCGAUACGUAAUGUGAAUUGCAGAAUUCAGUGAAUCAUCGAGUCUUUGAACGCACAUUGCGCCCCCUGGUAUUCCGGGGGGCAUGCCUGUCCGAGCGUCAUUGCUGCCCUCAAGCACGGCUUGUGUGUUGGGCCUCCGUCCUCCUCCCGGGGGACGGGCCCGAAAGGCAGCGGCGGCACCGCGUCCGGUCCUCGAGCGUAUGGGGCUUCGUCACCCGCUCUUGUAGGCCCGGCCGGCGCUUGCCGACACAUCAAUCUUUUUUCCAGGUUGACCUCGGAUCAGGAAGGGAUACCCGCUGAACUUAAGCAUAUCAAUAAGCGGAGGA
rnacentral:misc_RNA from 1 species